UGAGGUAUAGUUUAGUGGUAGAGCACUUGUCUGGCACAUAGGAGGCCCUGGAUUUGUUACCCAGUACCACAA
rnacentral:tRNA from 1 species